rnacentral:lncRNA from 1 species
AUGGAGCGGGGCUCCCUAAGGACAAGGAGCACAGUGUCUGCUUUCUUUGCAAGCACAGUGCUGACAAGGAACAGAAUACCCACAGCGACUGCUUCCAGGAAACGGCUGCAGGGCGGGCGGGAGCCUCCGCGAGAGCAGCCCCUUCCCAGCAAGCCGGCCUGCAGAGCUGGGAUUUUCUGUCUCCAUUCGGUGGUAUACCAAGUGCCCUGCCUGCAUCCCACACCCAGCUGCCCCAAUCCCUGCCUGAAAACGUGCUCCUGGGUCACGGAAUUCAUGCUGAGACACGAACCACACACAGCCAGGCUCAGGGGUCCACCCUCCAGGGAACACCACCCCGCUACAGGGCCACGAUCACACACACACCCCGCGGAGCAUCUCCGGGCCGGACAGGACCCACGCCCUCCACAGCCCGGAAGGGCAGGUUAACUGGUCAGCAGGCAGAGACCCACCAAGUGGAGACCCCGCUCCCAGGCACAGAUGCACAGCUGUGGAUGCACGUCCUCGGUGACAAGCUCCCAGGUGGAAACUCCAGAGCAAACGUGUCAUUCAUACACCCCUGGGCCCAGAGAUGUGGACGUGUCCAGCACGCCUGUUCUCUCCAAGUGACCAGGAGGAGACAAUCCCUAGGAGCUGACACAGGUGACGAAGGCCCGAGGUGGCCUGCCUUUUCCCCCGGCCCCAUUCCCAUGUGUCCUUCCCCAGGCAGGGAUUUGAAGUGGGCAGAGUCU